UACGGGGGGGGUAAGCGUUGUUCGGAAUUACUGGGCGUAAAGGGCUCGUAGGCGGCCAACUAAGUCGGACGUGAAAUCCCUCAGCUUAACUGGGGAACUGCGUCCGAUACUGGGAGGCUUGAAUCCGGGAGAGGGAUGCGGAAUUCCAGGUGUAGCGGUGAAAUGCGUAGAUAUCUGGAGGAACACCGGUGGCGAAGGCGGCAUCCUGGACCGGUAUUGACGCUGAGGCGCGAAAGCCAGGGGAGCAAACGGG
rnacentral:rRNA from 1 species